rnacentral:lncRNA from 1 species
GAAGAAGAAGAACCACCAAUUUAAAAAAACAAAAACAAAAAAACUAAAAGGCUGGGGACAUAGGUCAGUGGUAGAGCACCCCCUUGGGUCAAUAAUCAGAACUGCAAAAAAAGGGAAAGGAAAUGAUGUCUUUAGAAUACAGAGCCUCUAGGAUUAGCAUAUGUGUUCAAUGAGUUUUCUGCUAAUAUGAGAAGAAGGUUUGAGAGUGCUUUUAAACACUAGUUCCAGCCAAGUUUUUUCCUGCCUCUUCCACUUCUUUCUACCUUAACCUACCUGAUCUUCCCAAGAAGGAACAUAGGGAACAUGGAGGGAGAGCCUUAGAAAUAUAUCCUAGCCAUUGCCUGAAAAAAGUGAUUCCAGCAAAGUUGGUAUCCCCUGCUGUAUUGAAGUAGGUUAGGCUGUGCCAAAGUCUGAAAUAUAUACAAAAUCACAGUGCUAGAAACAAUGAAUUCCAUCACUAUGUAUAAUUAUAAUUCACCAAUAAAAAUAUGGAAAAAAUCACAGCAAUUAAAA